GACGGAGGAUGCAAGCGUUAUCAGGAAUGAUUGGGCGUAAAGCGUUCGCAGGUGGCUGUUCAAGUCUGCUGUCAAAGACCGGGGCUUAACCCUAGAAAGGCAGUGGAAACUGAACGGCUGGAGUGCAGUAGGGGUAGAGGGAAUUCCCAGUGUAGCGGUGAAAUGCGUAGAGAUUGGGAAGAACACCGGUGGCGAAAGCGCUCUGCUGGACUGCAACUGACACUGAGGGACGAAAGCUAGUGGAGCGAAAUGU
rnacentral:rRNA from 1 species